GAAUAUUGGACAAUGGGGGGAACCCUGGUCCAGCCAUGCCGCGUGUGUGAAGAAGGCCUUUUGGUUGUAAAGCACUUUAAGCGAGGAGGAGGCUUACCUGGUUAAUACCCGGGAUAAGUGGACGUUACUCGCAGAAUAAGCACCGGCUAACUCUGUGCCAGCAGCCGCGGUAAUACAGAGGGUGCAAGCGUUAAUCGGAUUUACUGGGCGUAAAGCGCGCGUAGGUGGCUAAUUAAGUCAAAUGUGAAAUCCCCGAGCUUAACUUGGGAAUUGCAUUCGAUACUGGUUAGCUAGAGUAUGGGAGAGGAUGGUAGAAUUCCAGGUGUAGCGGUGAAAUGCGUAGAGAUCUGGAGGAAUACCGAUGGCGAAGGCAGCCAUCUGGCCUAAUACUGACACUGAGGUGCGAAAGCAUGGGGAGCAAACAG
rnacentral:rRNA from 1 species